rnacentral:rRNA from 1 species
UCAGAUUGAACGCUGGCGGCAGGCCUAACACAUGCAAGUCGAGCGGAAACGAGUUAUCUGAACCUUCGGGGAACGAUAACGGCGUCGAGCGGCGGACGGGUGAGUAAUGCCUAGGAAAUUGCCCUGAUGUGGGGGAUAACCAUUGGAAACGAUGGCUAAUACCGCAUAACGCCUACGGGCCAAAGAGGGGGACCUUCGGGCCUCUCGCGUCAGGAUAUGCCUAGGUGGGAUUAGCUAGUUGGUGAGGUAAGGGCUCACCAAGGCGACGAUCCCUAGCUGGUCUGAGAGGAUGAUCAGCCACACUGGAACUGAGACACGGUCCAGACUCCUACGGGAGGCAGCAGUGGGGAAUAUUGCACAAUGGGCGCAAGCCUGAUGCAGCCAUGCCGCGUGUGUGAAGAAGGCCUUCGGGUUGUAAAGCACUUUCAGUCGUGAGGAAGGUAGUGUAGUUAAUAGCUGCAUUAUUUGACGUUAGCGACAGAAGAAGCACCGGCUAACUCCGUGCCAGCAGCCGCGGUAAUACGGAGGGUGCGAGCGUUAAUCGGAAUUACUGGGCGUAAAGCGCAUGCAGGUGGUUUGUUAAGUCAGAUGUGAAAGCCCGGGGCUCAACCUCGGAAUUGCAUUUGAAACUGGCAGACUAGAGUACUGUAGAGGGGGGUAGAAUUUCAGGUGUAGCGGUGAAAUGCGUAGAGAUCUGAAGGAAUACCGGUGGCGAAGGCGGCCCCCUGGACAGAUACUGACACUCAGAUGCGAAAGCGUGGGGAGCAAACAGGAUUAGAUACCCUGGUAGUCCACGCCGUAAACGAUGUCUACUUGGAGGUUGUGGCCUUGAGCCGUGGCUUUCGGAGCUAACGCGUUAAGUAGACCGCCUGGGGAGUACGGUCGCAAGAUUAAAACUCAAAUGAAUUGACGGGGGCCCGCACAAGCGGUGGAGCAUGUGGUUUAAUUCGAUGCAACGCGAAGAACCUUACCUACUCUUGACAUCCAGAGAACUUUCCAGAGAUGGAUUGGUGCCUUCGGGAACUCUGAGACAGGUGCUGCAUGGCUGUCGUCAGCUCGUGUUGUGAAAUGUUGGGUUAAGUCCCGCAACGAGCGCAACCCUUAUCCUUGUUUGCCAGCGAGUAAUGUCGGGAACUCCAGGGAGACUGCCGGUGAUAAACCGG